CGAAAGCCUGACGGAGCAAGACCGCGUGGGGGAAGAAGGCUCUUGGGUUGUCAACCCCUUUUCUCAGGGAAGAAGUUCUGACGGUACCUGAGGAAUAAGCAUCGGCUAACUCCGUGCCAGCAGCCGCGGUAAGACGGAGGAUGCAAGCGUUAUCCGGAAUUAUUGGGCGUAAAGCGUCCGUAGGUGGCUUUUCAAGUCGGCGGUCAAAGACCGGGGCUUAACUCCGGAAAGGCCGUGGAAACUGAAAGGCUAGAGAAAGGUAGGGGUAGGGGGAAUUCCCGGUGUAGCGGUGAAAUGCGUAGAGAUCGGGAAGAACACCGGUGGCGAAAGCGCCCUACUGGACCUUAUCUGACACUGAGGGACGAAGGCUAGGGGAGCG
rnacentral:rRNA from 1 species